rnacentral:rRNA from 1 species
GUGGGGAAUAUUGGACAAUGGGCGAAAGCCUGAUCCAGCCAUGCCGCGUGUGUGAAGAAGGUCUUCGGAUUGUAAAGCACUUUAAGUUGGGAGGAAGGGCAGUAAGUUAAUACCUUGCUGUUUUGACGUUACCGACAGAAUAAGCACCGGCUAACUCUGUGCCAGCAGCCGCGGUAAUACAGAGGGUGCAAGCGUUAAUCGGAAUUACUGGGCGUAAAGCGCGCGUAGGUGGUUCGUUAAGUUGGAUGUGAAAGCCCCGGGCUCAACCUGGGAAAUGCAUCCAAAACUGGCGAGCUGGAGUACGGUAGAGGGUGGUGGAAUUUCCUGUGUAGCGGUGAAAUGCGUAGAUAUAGGAAGGAACACCAGUGGCGAAGGCGACCACCUGGACUGAUACUGACACUGAGGUGCGAAAGCGUGGGGAGCAAACAGGAUUAGAAACCCGAGUAGUCC